rnacentral:rRNA from 1 species
UUAUACGGGAGGCAGCAGUGGGGAAUAUUGCACAAUGGGGGAAACCCUGAUGCAGCCAUGCCGCGUGUGUGAAGAAGGCCUUCGGGUUGUAAAGCACUUUCAGUUGUGAGGAAAAGUUAGUAGUUAAUACCUGCUAGCCGUGACGUUAACAACAGAAGAAGCACCGGCUAACUCCGUGCCAGCAGCCGCGGUAAUACGGAGGGUGCGAGCGUUAAUCGGAAUUACUGGGCGUAAAGCGCACGCAGGCGGUUUGUUAAGCUAGAUGUGAAAGCCCCGGGCUCAACCUGGGAUGGUCAUUUAGAACUGGCAGACUAGAGUCUUGGAGAGGGGAGUGGAAUUCCAGGUGUAGCGGUGAAAUGCGUAGAUAUCUGGAGGAACAUCAGUGGCGAAGGCGACUCCCUGGCCAAAGACUGACGCUCAUGUGCGAAAGUGUGGGUAGCGAACAGGAUUAGAUACCCUGGUAGUCCACACCGUAAACGCUGUCUACUAGCUGUGUGUGUCUUUAAGACGUGCGUAGCGAAGCUAACGCGCUAAGUAGACC